UUUUCUAAGUUAAAAAUUGGCCGAGUUAAAGCAACUUGGUUUUAUGUUAUUCGCACGAGUAUAACAAAUUAUAAAAUACAUAAUUAAUAAUAAUUAGCCAUAGGUUAACCCUAACCCCCCUAGGUGUCAACAAGGAUACAACUAGCAAAUAGAGGAUAUUAUGGACUUGAAAAAGUUUUUAAGUCGAAGGUCUUAUCCAAAAACCUAAAAAUCAAAAUGUACAUGACUCUACUAAGACCAGUUGUUCUAUACGGCUUGGAAACAUGGGCGUUGAGAAAAAUAGAAGAAUUAAGAUUAAUGAUAUUCGAAAGAAAAGUUCCACGGAAAAUUUUCGGCUCCAUAUUCGAUAAACAAUCUAAUGAAUAGAAAAAACUUCAUAAUGUGGAACUCCAAAGACUUUUUCAGAGGCCGAGUAUAGUUAGGGAGAUUGCCAAACGAAAACUAUGUUGGGCAGGACAUGCUUGGUGCAAACAGAGUACUUUAGUAAAACGGGCGAUCGAAGAAAACCCUAGGUAGACCUAGACUAAGAUGGGAAGAUGGUGUGAAAAGAGAAGUGGAAAGGAUAGAGCCUGGUGUCAAAUGAAGAGAAGUAGCGAAGGACAGGGAUAGGUGACAAAGUUUAUCGUUUUCAGGAUGGUCUUAAGGGCCGAAACUAAAGAAGAAGAAGAAGAAGAAUUAAUAAUAAUAAAGUAAACAGCCGAAAUCUAUGAACCGAUCCAGAGUGAAACAAACUUAUGAGUGACAAUCUACUUACUCCCAGGAAUAAUAUACAUGUUGAGAUCAUGGGGUAUACUUUCCAUGUCUGGAUCCCGAUCAACAGGCUCAAAUAAGCGGCUCAUCGGGUUCCGAGAAUACAGUGGGGCUGAUUAUUAUAUUUACAAUCAUGCAAGGGAUGGUCGUUGACAAUAAUCGGAAGAACUCAAAAGAGUUUUCGUCAAUAUGCCAACGCGGACCCGGAACCUCGUCGAUCAAAUCAUUGGAGGUGGAUGGGAAUUUGGUGGCCCUAACAAGGGCCGUUUUAAUUUAUAUAUACGUUGGAUAUUUAACUGUGACAGAUAUUCUUCGUCACCGUAACCGUGUUGCCGCAGUCGUCGUAGCAAAGAUCGUUGUCCGUGGUCGAUUUCGUCGCAGUAGUGAUGAUGGUCGCGGUCGCAGCAAUCGUCGUUGUCGUCGUCGUCAAUGUGGUAGCAGUCUAUACUACCCUUCGAUUGUAAUCUCAAUGAGACUCUAGCGUAAAACUCCGGGCGCAGUCAAUGAGUGCUGAGAUUGGAUCCAUGACCAUUUUGGUUUAUUAUUAUGCCGUGAGGAUGACACGGUUGAUGGUUAACGACAGAUAAACAAUUCUGUACCGUUACAAAUGUAUUCGUUUAUAAUAAAAAUUCAAAGAGUAUAUAGGCUACAUGUAUAUGUCUUGUUUCUACUUGAAUAAAAUUGACAUAAGAAUGUCGACGACGAUUAUUAGUUAUUAGAUACAAGGAGACGAGAAUUAAAUUGUAGGUAACUUUUUUAACUCGCGUAAAAAAUAAACAUGUUUCAAUGACCGCAUGAUAAUUAUUUAUUGAAUAUAAUUUUUUUUUUGAAUUUAAUUUAAAUGACAGAAUCGUCAUUUACAACACUUUUAGUGUUGAUAAUAAAGGACGGUGUGUACUGAAAUACGAAACGUACUCAUGUGUUUCAAGCUGCUCGAUGUGUCGAUAAAAUACGGCGUUAAUACAAGUCGAAUUGCGCGAGGCCGUUUUUUUGUUACGAGAACGUUACUUAAUUGUAAUCCUAGUUCGGUACGCAUAAUUUUUCGAUAAAUUCCGUCUCCGCCAACAAGCAUGGGUAAAUCGUGAUUAUUAUACUUUUCGAGCAUCUCGAACAUUAAUUUUAAUUUAGGACUGUACGCCGUACAGUGUACGUCAUUAGAUUUAAGACGGAAAAUUCUUUCUAAUGCUGUAUUCGAAGAGAUGUAAACUGACACAAGUACAGUUCUUUUACAAUUUAUCGUCUUCUUGAUUUAACAAAUGUCGCCGAUAUCGUUAUGAGAUGUCGCAAUUCGCUUCACGAUCAUAUACUGUCACGGUUUGACAAAGUGGCAUUAUAUGGAAACUGAAAAACGUACAACUGUAAAUGUCCAGGUGCUAUAGAGUACAAUUUUAGUAAAGCGUCAAUAUUCGAGCGUGCCUGGAGCGUUCUUAUAUAUGGUAUUUGUUUAUUAUUACUAUUGGAUUACAGGUGAAAUCGAUGGACGGCUGCAAAGUCGUCGCGGGACGAAUACCUAUGGGAAGGUCUGAACGCAAUCGGAGAGCAAAACGCGACGGACAACGAUUUGGAUAUCAAAAGGCCGCCGGCGGACUCAGACACCCUUCAAAUUUACAUAGACGGAAUGGAAGUGAUCGAAAUCGCGGAUCCGGUUUGCUCACGGAAGGACGGUGGUGACUGGCCGCAGCAAUUGUGAGUUGUCGCGUAUGGUGUUUUAGGUCGGUCAAGUCUGAUCUGAUCCCUGACUAAUUCAGCGGGAAAAGCAAUUGAAAGCUAAACGAACAAUGUUCCCCAAUCGUUUUAAUACAAUUCAGUCGUUGGUCGUGUCUUGUGAACCCCGAAAACUAAAAUUCCGACCUGGUCUUUUUCCACAUCGUCCUUGUGGGACGUUGCGAUACUACCGAUACCAAUAAAGUAUCAAUACUUUUUUUUUCGAUACUUAUUGUAUCAAUACCAUGGUUUCGAUACUUUACUCAAAUCGAUAAAAAAAAACUGGUAUCGAACAAUAAUUAUUUUCUAGUAAAAUGGUUCGCGCGCGUGGUGGAGGAUUUGUUUACAUAAAUCAAUCAUCCCAUCAUAGGUGGAGGUGGGGGGAUCACGGGGGCUUAGUUGCCCCCCCAAAAUAAAUAAUUUGAAGUUAAAGUCCCCCUAAAAAUAUUAAACAAACAAUACCUUACUUUUGUACAGUUUGCAGAAUUUUUAUCAUUAUUGUAUAUUUUUAUAUCCACAAUUAUAUAAGUGUA